rnacentral:rRNA from 1 species
AACGAACGCUGGCGGCAGGCUUAACACAUGCAAGUCGAACGCCCCGCAAGGGGAGUGGCGCACGGGUGAGUAACGCGUGGCUAUCUGCCUUUUGGUUCGGAAUAACCCCGGGAAACUGGGGCUAAUACCGGAUGGUUCCUACGGGAUAAAGAUUUAUCGCCAAAAGAUGAGUCCGCGUACGAUUAGCUAGUUGGUGAGGUAAUGGCUCACCAAGGCGACGAUCGUUAGCUGGUCUGAGAGGACGAUCAGCCACACUGGGACUGAGACACGGCCCAGACUCCUACGGGAGGCAGCAGUGGGGAAUAUUGGACAAUGGGGGCAACCCUGAUCCAGCCAUGCCGCGUGAGUGAUGAAGGCCUUCGGGUUGUAAAGCUCUUUUGGCGGGGACGAUGAUGACGGUACCCGAAGAAUAAGCCCCGGCUAACUUCGUG